rnacentral:rRNA from 1 species
CCCGCUGAACUUAAGCAUAUCAAUAAGCGGAGGAAAAGAAACUAACAAGGAUUCCCUUAGUAACUGCGAGUGAAGAGGGAAAAGCUCAAAUUUAGAAUCUGGCAGUGUUUCACUGUCCGAGUUGUAACCUAGAGAAGUGUAACCUGCACUGGACCGUGUACAAGUCUCCUGGAAUGGAGCAUCAUAGAGGGUGAGAAUCCCGUCUUUGACAUGGACUGCCAGUGCAUUGUGGUUGUGCUCUCAACGAGUCGAGUUGUUUGGGAAUGCAGCUCUAAAUGGGUGGUAAAUUCCAUCUAAAGCUAAAUAUUGGCGAGAGACCGAUAGCGAACAAGUACCGUGAGGGAAAGAUGAAAAGAACUUUGGAAAGAGAGUUAAACAGUAUGUGAAAUUGUUGAAAGGGAAACGUUUGAAGUCAGUCGCGUUGGCUGGGGAUCAACCUGACAUUUUUGUUGGGUGUACUUCCUGGUUGACGGGUCAACAUCAGUUUUGACUGCCAGAAAAAGGCCAAGGGAAUGUGGCACCUUUGGGUGUGUUAUAGCUCUUGGUCGUAUAUGGUGGUUGGGACUGAGGAAAGCAGUGUGCCGAAAGGCCGGGUUUCGACCACGUUCGCACUGAGGAUGUUGGCAUAAUGGCUUUAAGCGACCCGUCUUGAAACACGG